UCAGGUUCUAUCUAUAAAUUUGACCUUAAGUUAUGACCCAGUCUAUUGAUAGGUUGAAUUCUGUAAUUCUGACAACACAUCCCUGAACAACUGGGUUAUCUGGAGUGAUCAGAGAGUAGACUAAAGAAGUGAAGUAGACAAACUGCCAGUGUUUUAAAGCUCUAUGAAAUGAGUCUGUGUAGUUACUAACCCUUGUGAUAGUGAGAGGAGGAUGAUAUGAAAUUAGUCUGUGUGGACCAGUCCGUUGCCCUCCCGGGUGGACCAGUCCGUUGCCCUCCCGGGUGGACCAGUCCGUUGCCCUCCCGGGUGGACCAGUCCGUUGCCCUCCCGGGUGGACCAGUCCGUUGCCCCCCCGGGUGGACCAGUCCGUUGCCCCCGGGUGGACCAGUCCGUUGCCCUCCCGGGUGGACCAGUCCGUUGCCCUCCCGGGUGGACCAGUCCGUUGCCCUCCCGGGUGGACCAGUCCGUUGCCCUCCCGGGUGGACCAGUCCGGGUGGACCAGUCCGUUGCCCUCCCGGGUGGACCAGUCCGUUGCCCUCCCGGGUGGACCAGUCCGUUGCCUGUCUGGGUGGACCAGUCCGUUGCCCUCCCGGGUGGACCAGUCCGUUGCCUGUCUGGGUGGACCAGUCCGUUGCGGAGGGGAUGGCACACCACUAUCACCAGAGACCAUGUUGAGACAUUCUCUACAUCCAGAGAGCAACAGCAGGAAGGUCACAGAGCUAAGAGGUUUCACCACUGCCCACAUUGUGAGGAGAUAUUCCCAAUUCUAUCAAAGCUAAAAAAACACCUUAAAAUACACACAGGAGAGAAUCUGUAUCCCUGUACUGACUGUGGGAAGAGAUUCACGACAUCAAGGUCUCUGACAGUUCAUCAGAGAAUACACACAGGAGAGAAGCCUUACUCCUGCUCUGACUGCGGAAAGAGUUUCUCUAGACUAGGCAACUUAAAAACACAUGAACGUAUACAUACAGGAGUGAAACCUUACCCCUGCUCUGUCUGUGGAAUGUGUUUCUCUAGACUAGGUGACUUAAAAACACAUGAACGUAUACAUACUGGAGUGAAGCCUUACUCCUGCUCUGAUUGUGACAAGAGUUUCUCUCGACUGGGCCACUUAAAAACACAUGAACGUAUACAUACAGGAGUGAAACCUUACUUCUGCUCUGACUGUGGAAAUAGUUUCUCUCGACUGGGAAACUUAAAAACACAUAAACAUAUACAUACAGGAGUGAAGCCUUACUCCUGCUCGUACUGUGGAAAGAGUUUCUCUCGACUGGGCGACUUAAAAACACAUGAACGUAUGCAUACAGGAGUGAAUUCUUACUCCUGCUCUGAAUGUGGAAAGAGUUUCACUCGACUGGGCCACUUAAAAACACAUGAACGUAUACAUACAGGAGUGAAGCCUUACUCCUGCUUUGACUGUGGAAAGAGUUUCUCUCGACUGGAAAACUUAAGAAGACAUGAACGUAUACAUACAGGAGAGAAGCCUUACUCCUGCUCUGAUUGUGUAAAAUGCUUCACAACAUCAACUGACCUAAAAGUUCAUCAGAGAACACACACAGGAGAGAAGCCUUACCACUGAUCUGACUUACAGCUGAGCUAAAAGGGUCAUCGAUGAACACACACACAGAAGAGAAGCCUUACUUCUGCUCUUAAUGUGGCAAGAGUUUCUCCAGAUUGGGCAAUGAAAAGACACAAAAACUGAUACACACUUGAGAGAAGCCUUAUCACUGCACUGACAGUGAGAGGAGAUUCUACAGAUUGGGCCAUUUAAAGACACCAUUGUAUACAUAAAGGAGAGAGUCCUUGUCAGUUCUCUCAGACCAGCUGAGAUUAGUCACUCAGUCACUUAAUUUUAAUUUCAUAAAAUAAUUGUCAACACUAUUGCAAUCCUAUUGUUUCUCACUGUGAGAACUGUGCAGAGGAAAGGGAGCGUUCUAGAAUGUUAGCCUUUCUUUACUUUACUGAUCAGUGUGCUCCAUGUCAGGUUGUGUGUUUUGUUAGCUUCUACUGUAAAGAUACUGAGAUUUUGGAUUUUCCCUUAGGGUUGAAUGUCCUCUGUGAGGCGUCUGAUGAUUGACUGGGUGGUACUGCUUCCCUCUACAGUUUUCUGUGAGAAUGAGCUGGUAGACACAACAUACACUGAGUGUACAAAACAUUAAGGACACCUGCUCUUUCCAUGACAGACUGACCAGGUGAACCCAGGUGGGCUAAGGAAUGAAAACACUGGACACUGGAAAAUUGGAGACCUAUUGCCUGGUCUGAUGAAUCCCUGUUCCUGCUGUUUCAUGCUGAUGGGAGGACUGGGGUAUGGAGGAAACCACGAGGACAUACAUCCAGUGGUGGAAAAUGUACCUAACUGUCAUACUGAGUGAAAGUAAUGAUACCUUAUUUAAAUAAUUUUUACUUAAUUAAGUACUUUACACCACUGCAUGCAUCCAUACUGUGUGUCAGCAUUGCAGGCUGGUGGUGUGAUGGUUGGGGUGUGUUUUCAGGGCACACAUUGGGCCCCUUGAUAAAAGAUGAACAAUGUUUGAAUGCUACAGGAUAUCUAAAGAAUAUCAGGUGCCUCCCUUCACUGCAGCAGUGUAUCCAUCUGCAAAUAGUUUUCUUCAGCAGGAUUAUGCCAGAAGGCUUGUCCAGGAAUGGUUCCAAGAGCAUGACAGUGAAUUCAGUUUACUGCAGUGACCUGCCGAGUCACCAGAUCUCAAUCCAAUUGUUCAUCUGUGGGAGGAGAUGGAACAAGCUAUUCGGAGUAGAGAUCUACUCCCAGCCACAUUGACACAAUUGUGGGAAGCAUUGGAGUCAACAUGGGCCAUCAUCCCUGUGGAACGUUCUCAACACCUUGGAGAGUCCAUACCCCGACUAUUGAGGCUGUUCUGAGGACAAAAGGAGGUAUAACUCAAUAUUAGGAUGGUGUUCCUAAUGUUUGUGCUCUCAGUGUAUAUCAGAUAAAGAUGAUGUGAUGAUCAGUUUUCAGCAUUAGUUUGGGUGGAUUAUUUUAUAUUACUAAACAACUUUUGUUUAAUGAUUAACAGGCUAUGAAUUGACUACUUGUGUUUAUGAAAUUGACUACUUGUGUUUAAUACUAGAUGCAUUCUGGCAGCAGGUAGCCUAGCGGUUAAGAGUGUUGGGCCAGUAACUGAAAGGUCGCUGGUUUGAAUCCCGAGCCGACUAGGUGAGUAAUCUGUCAUUGUGUCCUUGAGCAAGUCAAUUAACUCUUAUUUGUCCUGUAAGUCGCCCUGGAUAAAAACAUCUGCUAAAUGACAAAAAUGUAAUGAAAAAUAAUGUUUGUACAUGAAUUCGUGCUGUGAAACCACUUUUUUCUCAUGUGUAUAAUAAAAUAAAAUAAAAUGUUUUUAGUGAAAUACAACAUUACUGCUUUGUUUAUCCUGGCCAGAGGGACAGGACCAUAGUAGGCUAGAGCAACUAAGUUAGUGUUAACGUUAGUUAGCAUGGAAGUAUCCAGGUUGCUAAUGUUAGCCUAGAGAAAAUAGUUUGCGACAUUAACAGAAACUAAUAAUUCAUAUAUCAACCUUAUCAAAUUACAAACGUUUUCAAAAAUGUUGUUGCUUACAAUUAUCCUCGUGUCCUUGUUACCGUCUUGAGGAAUAAAUGUCGGGUGAAUUACUUGCUUUUUCUGCUUCUCCCAGUUUUGAGGCACGGCGGUUAUAAAUUGUAAUAAAUUCCGUUGUGAAAUUGUAAACUAAUUAUUUGAAAUUACAGGUUUUUACAUUUACAUUACAUUUUUUUUUUUUUUUAACAUUUUACAAUUACAUUUUUCAGUCAUUCUGUCUAUAUCAGAACAUCGAACAAUAUAUUCGGUUUUUUAACAUUGUAAAUCAAUAUAUUUUAUUAUAUUAUGUAUAUUACAUUGUGUAUAUCAUUUCGGAGCAAGGCACCUAUUAAAGAAGGUUAUAUCUGGAGUUUCGUUGGAUAUUGAGGUUCAUCGUCUUGAGCAGAAGAUUCCUGGAGUGGUUGGAGCACUAAACCCUGUAGUAGAUGGAAAGUCAAUCAGUUUUACUGUUGUUUGAAGAAUGUUAUCUGCCAACUACCGAGGUAAAGUUGGUGUUGUAUUCACAACAUUCUGACAUUCAACAGAUAUUCGCCAAAAGCCAUUUGAAAUUGUAAAAAUCAUUAACUAAUUAAUUGAUUGUCACAGAAAUAUAAAAAUAGAUAUGGUUUAUUCUAUAAAUGCUUAGCAUACUUUACAACCUUUGUUUUGAAUAAUAAAUCCUGUUUUGAUUUGAUGAAAAUAUAUAAAAUCUUAAAUGCAAUUUAAAGCUGUAUAAAUCAAAUAACUAAUUCACCCUUUAUCACAGAAUGAUCGAAAGAGAUAUGAUUCAUUCUAUAAAUGUCUAUCGUCUUUGUUCAACCUUUGUGUUGAAUACAAAUUCCAGUUUAGAUUAGAUCGAAAUAUAUAAAAUAUAUAAGAUGCCUUUCUUGUAAUGUUUUAUAAUUUUUUUGCUAAUGUGUACCUUUUUUACUAUACGAUUUUUAUUUGCUGCAUACUCAACGAUGAUGAACACCUCAGUUAUGUGUGCUUCUAUCAGGGCUGUGGUCAUAUGCAUGUCAUUUAAAGUCAAUUUAGCAAAAAUCCAAUUCAAUUUGAAAAUGUUCCUAAUUGCAAAAGCAUGUAACAGAAUUCGGGUAUUCCAGAACUGUAAUUUACAUGUAAAUAAACAUAACCCUGUUUUAUGUUUUUAA